CUAUGAUGUCUCAGUUUUAUUUCUUGCUGGAAGGGAUCUGAGUUCAUAAAGCUGAGAAACAGGCUUUGUUUUUCCUUCCACAUAUGAAAGGUGAGCUUGUCCUGAGCAAAUGACCUAGGAGAGUAGAGUUUUAUGUAGUUUAUUUUGUUUAACACUGAGUUGGAACAUGUUGCUUGUUGAGUUCUCCCUUUGACUUCGCCCACCUGCAGAUCUGGCUUCCCGUGCCUUUGCUGGUCCACACCUAGAACACCCUUCCCAGUCUGGCCAACCUGUCCUGUCGCCAGAGAGCCAGCCUUGCUUGAGAUUGGACUGGAAUCUAAUAGGCUCUUGUUGCCACUCAGACGUAUUUUUAUUUUGUAAAGACUGACUUUUAUAUUAUGUGCAUGAGUGUUUGUCUGCAUGUGUGUUAUAUAUGUGUACCACAUGUGUGCCUUUUUAUCCGCAAAAAGAAGCCAUCAGCUCCUCUGAAACAAGUCACGGGUUGUUGUGAAAUCACCAUGUGGGUGCUAGGAACUAAACCCAGAUCCUCUUUGAGAGCAGCAAGUGUCCUUAACCACUGAGCCAUCUCUCCAGCAUCUUUCCCUCAGCCUCCUCCCCAGACUUCUUUCUUAGAUAUUUGUGUUAUAUUCUUAACUGGUUAAGACCCUGGAGGGUCACAGCUUUCUUACUCCUCCAUCUCUCAGUCUUGUGCAGUCUGUGGUCUCAGUUUUGUUCCUUUCUUGGUUUUAGCCAAGGGUGUGGAGAGCAUUUAACAAAAGGAUAAAAUGGAGUGUUUCCUGUCCAGAAAGAAGAAUGGGAGAUGGUUCCUGUUGAGAACUAGUCCUGUGCUUCAUGUCUCCUGUCCUUUUGUGGCACAGACUAUAGAAAUAACCUGACUAAAGCCCAUUUUCUGAGCUCCUCCUCUGGUCCGUAGUCAAAGGGCUGUUCAGGGAUAUGGUUACGCCAUUACUGUGGCUCAUUUUUAUAAUGCCGUCCAUGGGGCAGGACAGAUUGGAGCCAAGCAUCUGGAAUCUUGUGCAUGUGCACGUGCAUGCACACAAAACUUGAGGGUUUGUGUGUGCUGCCAUUUCCAGAGACGCUUAACUGAGAUGGGAGGACCCACCCUGGGUGUGGGCUGCAGUAGUUCAUGAGCUGGUAGAGCCUAAGCCAAAUAAAAGGAGAAAGCCAGCUAAGCACCAGCCAUCCCUGCUGUCUGAUUGCUCACACAUGUCCAGCCACCUGAUGGGCUUGCUGCCAUGAUGGACUGUACCUUCACACUGUGAGCCAGUAUAAGCUUACCCUCCCCGCCUCCCUUUUGUUUGGGUAGGGGAGGUAUUUUGUAAUAACAUCAAAGACACUAAUGAAUAGGUCUGUCAAGAAUCUCCCAACACCCCCUGAUAAACUCCAUAUACCACUCUGAAAAAGGGAAAGGGAAAGGAGAAGGGUCCUGUUUGUCAGUGAAGCAUCCUAGUGAGAGAUUGAAAGCCUGACUGGCCUGGGUAAUACGGCCGCUGUUUUGCAUGUCAUUUACAUUGUAUUUAAAUAUUCAAGAGGAAAGUAUCUUGUUCAAUUGGUGGUUUAAUGUGUUAACAACAGGCAUUGGUAGCCUACUUUGUGGUUUAGAUCAUAAUCUUGUCUUCAGUAAUUGAGGGGUAUGAAGUGUAUAGUCAUGUAAAUUAUGAGCCUUUUAGCCACUUAUGAAAAAAACUUUAUAGUCUUAUAAGACAAAAAGCUGUUGCCUUUGAAUCCUAAAUGAAGGUAUAUUCAAAAAACUCCUAUCUAUUCACAGCUGGGAGAUGGCAGCACUCAACUUUUAUCCCACCCAUCACUUCCGGGGCAGAGGAAGGCUUAUUUCUUAAGAAUUUGAGGCCAGCCUGGUCUAUAGAGUUCCAGGAUAGCUAAGGCUACACAGAGAAACCCUAUUUAGUCUGGAGUGUGAGUAUGGCAUUACAGAAACAUGGACAACUCAAAAGCUGCGGAAGCCAAAGUCCACCCAGCAUGACCCACCUGGAGCUCACUGUAUUUUAUGCAGGAAGCUCAAAAGGCCAGUGUGGCGGUAGAGAGAAAUGCCGAAGAACAGCUUCAGGCUGCGAAGAUGAGGGAGGGCAGGUGGGAUGGCAGGCGCAGUGGAUGAAGGUCCCCGGUGGAAGAAGAGAACGCUGGCUUCCUGCAAGGUGUCCUCUUACUUCCACACUGGAACAGUGUUUGCAUCCCUGGGGAGCAAACCCUUCCUUCGCCCUGUGCACAUAGCAAGCACUCCACACUGAGCUAUAUCUCUAGCACCAACACCCAAUUUCUGGGAGGAACCCGACUGAGUUGAGAGAAUGAAGAAAAGACACCCAUAUAAACACACAGAAAAGCUGCAAUCGGGUGGACUGGCUCUCUAAGGUGAAGAAAGCUC